rnacentral:rRNA from 1 species
UACGUAGGGGGCAAGCGUUGUCCGGAUUUAUUGGGCGUAAAGAGCGUGUAGGCGGUCUGGUAGGUCCGUUGUGAAAACUCGAGGCUCAACCUCGAGACGCCGAUGGAAACCAUGUGGCUAGAGUCCGGAAGAGGAGAGUGGAAUUCCUGGUGUAGCGGUGAAAUGCGCAGAUAUCAGGAAGAACACCCGUGGCUAAGGCGGCUCUCUAGUACGGUACUGACGCUGAGACGCGAAAGCGUGGGGAGCAAACAGG